AGGUGAGAAUUAAAGAGUUUAGGAAAGGUUAGGAAGAGGUAAAGAGUGGGAAUUUGGAAAAAGUUGGCUAAGAAGAGCAGGAUUAGAGGGAAGGAAAUUGGAAGGUAGAGAGGAAAUGGAGGGAAGAUGAUAGGGGAAGAAGAAGAAGAUCCAAAUAAAAGUGGAGAGAGAGAGAAUUUGGGAAGAAAGAAAGUAGUAUCUAUACUUACUAGUGUAGAGCUAUUAUACUGUCGAAAGUAUAAAAGAGUUGGUGAUUUCGAUUUUUUAACUAUUGGAUCAAGAAUUGUAGGGUCAAGAUAAUAGUAGU
rnacentral:lncRNA from 1 species